AGUUCCAAUCUUGAUUAUGCUCCAAGUAGUGGUGUCUUCAGUGACAGACUCUCAAUAUUUUGGUAAUGUUCCAUGUGACUACCAAAAUGAAAAGGAAAUUCUUCUACAAGCCAUCUGCAUACAGCCUUUAAGGAAAAAUGCAUGGAAGCAAAUAAAGAUUAGAUCAUGAAGAUGCUGGCCUGUAUUUGGAGCUUCUGACAGAUGAGUAACAGCAGAGACAGAUAUCGACAUUCAAUUUAAGGAACAGUUGAAUGCACAAGAAGUGUACAUCUUCUCUUAGAGUUGAAUACUACUUCCUGUAGUGGUAGCAGGCAUAUAAAGGUUGCCAGUCCUG